AAGGGGGGGGGGGUGCUAUACAUGCAAGUCGAGCGAACCGAUUAAGAGCUUGCUCUUAAGAAGUUAGCGGCGGACGGGUGAGUAACACGUAGGUAACCUGCCUAUAAGACUGGGAUAACUCCGGGAAACCGGGGCUAAUACCGGAUAACAUUUUGCACCGCAUGGUGCGAAAUUGAAAGGCGGCUUCGGCUGUCACUUAUAGAUGGACCUGCGGCGCAUUAGCUAGUUGGUGAGGUAACGGCUCACCAAGGCGACGAUGCGUAGCCGACCUGAGAGGGUGAUCGGCCACACUGGGACUGAGACACGGCCCAGACUCCUACGGGAGGCAGCAGUAGGGAAUCUUCCGCAAUGGACGAAAGUCUGACGGAGCAACGCCGCGUGAGCGAUGAAGGCCUUCGGGUCGUAAAGCUCUGUUGUUAGGGAAGAACAAGUGCUAGUUGAAUAAGCUGGCACCUUGACGGUACCUAACCAGAAAGCCACGGCUAACUACGUGCCAGCAGCCGCGGUAAUACGUAGGUGGCAAGCGUUAUCCGGAAUUAUUGGGCGUAAAGCGCGCGCAGGUGGUUUCUUAAGUCUGAUGUGAAAGCCCACGGCUCAACCGUGGAGGGUCAUUGGAAACUGGGAGACUUGAGUGCAGAAGAGGAAAGUGGAAUUCCAUGUGUAGCGGUGAAAUGCGUAGAGAUAUGGAGGAACACCAGUGGCGAAGGCGACUUUCUGGUCUGCAACUGACACUGAGGCGCGAAAGCGGUGGGGGAGCAAACAGGAUUAGAUACCCUGGUAGUCCACGCCGUAAACGAUGAGUGCUAAGUGGUUAGAGGGUUUCCGCCCUUUAUGCUGAGGUUACGCAUUAAGCACUCCGCCUGGGGAGUACGCCGCAAGCUUGAAACUCAAGAAUUGACGGGGCCGCACAAGCGUGGGAGCCAUGUGGUUAAUUCGAGCACCCGAGAACUUACAGCUUGACAUCUCUGACACCUAAGAUAGGGCUCUCCCUCGGGCCAAUGACAGGGUGCCAUGUGUCCAACGCUCUUGGUUCUGGGAAGUCGUAUUCGCACAGCGCAACUGUAUCUAUGCACUUAUGCUACCUAGGAUGCGUCAAACGGAAGUUGGGGGCU
rnacentral:rRNA from 1 species